CUGAGAGGUGGGGAAUGGCAAGAGGAUAUUUUGCAAUGUGCUGUGAGACUGUGCUGACACAGGACACUGCGUCUUCAUACAACAACAGAGCUGUCACUCUCUCUCUCAGGCACGAGGUGCACAAGGGAUUCGGUCUGAAAGCCAGGACCACAGAGGGCAGUGCGGUGAGGUGAACCUGGGAAAGCGAGCAACAGCUGUGAGAAACCAUCAGAUCUGCCAUUCCUCACACUUCAACAGCCAACAAGAAAGCGAUUUAUGACGGCCGAGAGAGGGAGAGAAAGAGACUGAGAGAAAGAAGGACAGAGAAAAAAGGACAGACAGGGGAGACGGAGAAAUAAACAUAGAGAAAGAGGGAGAAAGAAUGAAAUAAACAGAGAAAGAAGUAAAGACAGAGGAGCUGAAAGGAGAUGUGAUAAAGCAAGCGAAAUGAAAGGGGAAAGAAAGAUAAAUACACAGAGAAAAGAGAGUGACAGAGAGAUAACAAGAUGGCCGACUGGGAUAGACUAAAGGACAGAGGUGGUAGUGUUUGGACUCACAGAUGAAACCAUUUAAAGAAGAGAACAACUCAUCUACAUACUGUGCGGUCCAGAGAGCACUCUCCCAUGACAACUACGUCAACGACCCAGAGACAGUGUCGACAGAAGACCACACCACACGGGGAGAACACACACAUUAACUCAACACGCACACAUGCAUACGCACAUGCACACAAAUAAACUUUAACACAUACACACCCAUAUAUCCAUAAAAAAAGUAUAGCGCAUAGAAGAAUAUUUUUUGUGUGUGUGUUUUGGUCUUGAGGAAAUCUUCAGCAUGUGUUAGAUGAAUCCCAGGGGUUCUCACUCAACUCUGAUUGGCCGGCCGGCUUGCUGUGUUUGUUUCCACAGCAACAGAGCUGUCACUGCCUCCUACCACCCAGGUAGAGCUGUCAAUCACUCUGGCUCCCGGCCAACCACACGCAGGCCUCGCUGCAACCAAUCACAACACAGAUCCUGUCCUGAAAAUUACCAAUAGUCUGAUAUCAAUAAUCCCGAUCGUAAGAAAUUAUAAAUGACUUUUUAAAACAAAGUUAGAAUGUUUUACUAGAAACAAAGGAAAACAUUUAUAGAGCUUCUGCUUUAUGUUGGAAACAACUCUGGUUUCCAAUUGGAUUUAGAGAAAAUCAUAAAGGUUAAUUUAAAAAGAUGAAAUAUUUCAGUACUAAAAUUCAAAACAGACAUUGUUUAAUCACAACUUGGCCUUUGCCUAAAGAAAAUUGGCCAUAUCCAGAUCUUUAAUCACAACCUUCCAUUUGGUGCUGUUCCUUAUGCGUUUCGUCAUACCUUAAAUCACAUCAUCCGCUCCUUAUUGCCCCUCUUAUUUAUUACACAAAUACUCCAGAGGGUGGAUUUCCAAACAAUCAUAAUCCAUCUUCAAAAGCUGACUUCACUUUAGUUUCUAUUUCUCCUCUUGUCUUAAAAUGAAGAAUCUCAAAGAACAGUCAGUUUACUGUGACAGUAAAUAUGGGGGUUGUUGAUGUGUCAAUAGUCAAAGGCUGGAUUUGAAAUAAUACAUUCUACUGAGAUAUAACAGUGCCAGGGCUACUACUGAAUGGAUCGUGCAUGCUUGCUCAUUGGCAUGGUUUACUGGGACACCUGAAUGGAGCAGAGCCAUUUUUAACAUUAUUAAUUAGACCUACACUGUUUCUCCUAUAACAAGUCCCAUUUGCCACAGAGACAAAGGUCUAUGAGCCAGUUUUAGCACAACUGUAUGUUAACUGAACUAGAAAACUACACUGUGUGUCACUGUGUUGGGCAGUGAAUUAGAUUUAUCACAUUAAUCCUGUUUUAUGAGGAACUUCUGACAUCAUCAAAUCAUGUUUUCAUGUUUUCUAUCUAUCAUCUAUACAAGUUACAAUUUAAGAGCACAUUUUUCAGUUCACUUAUUACAACUCAACCAAACUCUAUAUUUAGCAUUUAAGUCAGUCCCCUUGACACAGGACAGAUUUUUUGACAAAGGCAAUCCUGGGGUCAUAAAAACUAAAAAUAGAGCUUUUCUAUUCUGGAGCUGAGGCGUAUCUGAAGGCGAUGAAAAGCAGGUGUAACACAAUAUAGGAGUCAGGGUCUUCAGAGCAAUGUCGGGGAACCAGGACUGUCACAUGUUCACAAAAAUAGACACACAUACACAAGACGUUUAGAGAAGGAAGCAGAGAGAAAGGGACAGACAGGCAGAUGAAUGUCACUAUUACAAAAGCCUUUCCAGGUCUCAUGAGGGGCAACUGUAUUUGUUUUUGAAUUAUUGAUAUAUGUACAGGUGUAUGUGUGUGUUGGUCUGUGUGCGAGCAGUGUGGCAGUGGUGGCAUUUAUGACCUGAGAUUAAAUAGCUUUUUAAAGUAUUUUUUAACUGUUGAUUGUUUUUAUAGCGCUUUUAUCCAACGUCCAAUUUAUUACAAUUUGCCUCUCAUCCACACACUCACACACCGAUGGCAGCGAGCUACCUAGCCCCAGUUUGUGCCUCUCAUGUAUUAGCAUGCAUUCAGGUCACAGAGGUAACCAUCGGCUUCUCUGAGAGAUAAUUAACCGCUGAUGUUUGAACAACUACAUUGUGAGUUUGGCUGUCUUAAAACACAGUGAUCAUGGAGCACAGGAGGGGGCAAAACGGAGGUUUAACCAGCUGAGACCGUCUGU